AGUGUCAUAUUCCUACUCGCUGGGGAGCUUCCUUAUUGCAAGAAACAAGAAUGAAAUCCCUGUUGCUUUUCCUUUCCCUGCUCUCUGCCCCCACCUGUGUCUUCUCCCAGGUGCAACUGGUCCAGUCAGGCCCGGGGACGGUGAAGCCCGGAGAGACCCUUGCAGUGACCUGCGCUGUCUCGGGUUACUCCAUCACUAGCGGUUACUAUUGGAACUGGAUCCGGCAGCCCCCCGGGAAGGACCUGGAGUAGAUGGGAUAUGUAUCAUAUAGCGGGAGCACAAGCUACGCCCCGUCUCUCCAAGGCCGAGUCACCAUCUCUGCAGACACCGCCAAGAACCAGUUCUCCCUGCAACUCCGCUCGCUGACAGCUGCAGACACCGCCACCUAUUACUGCGCCAGAGACACAGUGACUCAGAGCAGAGCAGCGAUCAUACAAAAAGAGGAAGCUGGUUUUAAGCAGCCAACCUCCGGCUUCACCUUCAGCAGCUACUGGAUGGACUGGGUCCGCCAGGCUCCCAGGAAGGGGCUUGAGUGGGUCUCAGGAAUUAGCGGAGGAGGCAGCACGUAUUACCCCGCUUCAGUCCGGGAUCGCUUCACCAUCUCCAGAGACACCUCCAGCAACCUGAUAUACUUGCUAAUGACUGACCUGACACCCGAGGACACCGCUGUGUGCUGCUGA